rnacentral:lncRNA from 1 species
GUUUUCCCAAAAAAAUAGCAACUUAUUUAAAGUUGGAAAAUGUUAACAGGUUUACAGGACAUUGUUUUAGACGUACUUCAGCAACAUUAUUAGCAAAUACAGGUGGAGACAUCCUACAGUUGAAAAAGUUGGGGGGUUGGAAAUCCAACACCGUAGCAGAGGGAUAUGUGGAGAAUUCAUUACAUGGACAAA